GUUGUCGCGCCAGCGGCAGUGCAGCAUAGCUAUGUACGGACGGGAUAACCGCUGAAGGCAUCUAAGCGGGAAACCCACCUCAAAACGAGUAUUCCCUUGAGAACCGUGGAAGACGACCACGUUGAUAGGCCGGGUGUGGAAGUGCGGCAACGCAUGCAGCUUACCGGUACUAAUCGUUCGAUUGGCUUGAUUGC
rnacentral:rRNA from 1 species